CGUUGGUGAACCUGCGGAGGGAUCAUUACUGA
rnacentral:rRNA from 1 species